rnacentral:rRNA from 1 species
AGCAGCCGCGGUAAUUCCAGUUCCAAUAGCGUAUAUUAAAGUUGUUGCAGUUAAAAAGCUCGUAGUUGAACUUCGGGGUUCACCCAUUGGUCAGGCUUAAUUGUCUGCACUGGUGAGAUGAAUCUCUACCUUCUGAGGAACUUUCAUGCCAUUUAUUUGGUGUGAUUGGAAAUCAGGACUGUUACUUUGAAAAAUUAGAGUGUUUAAAGCAGGCUAACGUCUGAAUACAUUAGUAUGGAAUAAUGAAAUAGGACGGAUUGAUUCUAUUUCGUUGGUUUCUAGGAUCACCGUAAUGAUUAAUAGGGAUAGUUGGGGGCAUUAGUAUUCAAUUGUCAGAGGUGAAAUUCUUGGAUUUAUUGAAGACUAACUACUGCGAAAGCAUUUGCCAAGGAUGUUUUACAUUAAUCAAGAACGAAAGUUAGGGGAUCGAAGACGAUCAGAUACCGUCGUAGUCUUAACCAUAAACUAUGCCGACUAGGGAUCGGACGCAGUUAAUUUUAUAAUGACGUGUUCGGUACC